CUUCAAGGGUCUACUUUAAAACAGAAGAUAAAUACUAGGAGUUUUAAAUAUUCACUGAUGACUAAAAAACAAAAAAUAUUUUUGAAAUUCGAAGUGAUUGUUAACUACAUUUUGCUGCUGGCUAAACGUGUGUCAAAACAUUCUAAAGAGGAAAAUGUCUCAGGAAUUUAAGGACAGCUAUGAAUUAAGCAAUUUAAGGAGAUAAAAUCUCAACAACUGAAAACAAAUCUGAAUUUACAGCAGCAUAGUGUUUUUUAACACUGCAUGAUAAGUGUUCCCUUUUGUCUUCAAACCGAUCCAUUUCUCAACUGUAUUGUAACUUGCAAUAAAAAGUGAAUUUUGUACAAUAAAAAAAAAAAACAUUCUGCGCAAUGGUUGGACAAAAAUAAAGUACCGCAAGCCUUCCCUAAACCUGAGCUUUUCAAAAAGAAGGUUAUGGUGACUGUCUGAUGGUGUAUUGUUGGACUCAUCUGCUAAAACCUCUUAAAACCCAGAAAAGCAUUACUGUGGAAACAUAUUGCCAUGAAAUUGCCAAAAUGAACGAAAAACUGCUACUACUCCGUCCCAGACUGGUCAACAGAAGCGGGCCAGUCAUUCUUCAUGACAAUGCUUGACUACACGUUUCUCUAAUGACACUCCAGAAGUUGAGGGAACUUGGCUAUGAAGUUCUUCCCCACCCAGCUUAUUCCCCAGACCUUUCUUCUACGGACUACCACUUUUCCAAGCAUCUUGAUGGUUUCCUACAAGAGGAGUUAAAAAAUCAAACAGAUGCUGAAAGUGCUUUCAAAGAGUUCAUCAGCUCCGGAUUUUUAUGUUGCCAUAAUAAACUAACUUGUAACUCGUUGGCAAAAAUGUGCUGAUUGUAAUGGUACUUAC